rnacentral:misc_RNA from 1 species
GAGACAAGCAUAUGACUACUGGCAGGAUCAACCAGGUAACAUUCCUUUGGGACAUGCAGACACUCGCAUGAGCCCCACCGAGCCGUGAGGCCGCGGGCUCAAAGACGAGCGUAGCAGUCGUUCAUGCCAUUGGGCAGUUUGCGUUGCUUGAUUGGAUGAAGGCCUCCCAGAGACCACCCACCCACAACACGUAACAUUCCACAUCCGAGAGCACGGGCAAAGAACCUCAUGGGCCAAGGCAGCAGCCCAAUUGGGCAAGGCAUGCUAGGGACACAAGGGUUGCCUGACGUCCACCCCACCGCCCCCUCGAGGGCAUGGGGCAGAGAGUAGCCAACAAACCAUCGAAUUCCUUCCAACAGGUAAGCAACACAG